GAUGAACGCUGGCGGCGUGCUUAACACAUGCAAGUCGAACGAGAAGUGAAGACGGAAACCUUCGGGCGGAAGGCUUUAUUUCGAGUGGCGGACGGGGGAGUAACGCGUUGGCAACCUGCCUCAUACAGGGGACUAACAGUAGGAAACGACUGUCAAUACUGCAUAAGACCACAGCAUCGCAUGGUGCGGGGGUAAAAACUCGGGUGGUAUGAGAUGGACCUGCUUGUGAUUAGCCGGUUGGCGGGGGAACGGCCCACCAAAGUGAGGAUCGGUAGCCGAGAUGGGAGGAUGACCGGAUACAUUGGGGCUAAGACACGGCCCAAAAUCCUACGGGAGGGAGGAGUGGGUAAUAUUGCAAAAUGGGGGAAACCGUGAUGCAGCGACGACGGGUGAGUGAAGAAGUAUUUCGGUAUGUAAAGCUCUAUGAGCAGGGAAGAAAAUGACGGUACCUGAGUAAGAAGCCCCGGCUAACUACGUG
rnacentral:rRNA from 1 species